rnacentral:rRNA from 1 species
GAUGAACGCUGGCGGCGUGCCUAAUACAUGCAAGUCGAGCGAACGGACGAGAAGCUUGCUUCUCUGAUGUUAGCGGCGGACGGGUGAGUAACACGUGGACAACCUACCUAUAAGACUGGGAUAAUUUCGGGAAACCGGAGCUAAUACCGGAUAAUAUUUUGAACCGCAUGGUUCAAAAGUGAAAGACGGUCUUGCUGUCACUUAUAGAUGGAUUCGCGCUGCAUUAGCUAGUUGGUAAGGUAACGGCUUACCAAGGCAACGAUGCAUAGCCGACCUGAGAGGGUGAUCGGCCACACUGGAACUGAGACACGGUCCAGACUCCUACGGGAGGCAGCAGUAGGGAAUCUUCCGCAAUGGGCGAAAGCCUGACGGAGCAACGCCGCGUGAGUGAUGAAGGUCUUCGGAUCGUAAAACUCUGUUAUUAGGGAAGAACAUAUGUGUAAGUAACUGUGCACAUCUUGACGGUACCUAAUCAGAAAGCCACGGCUAACUACGUG